ACGUAUGCAACCUGCCCCUGUCAGGGGGACAACCCGCCGAAAGGCGGGCUAAACCCGCGUACAUGCCACCGGGGCAUCCCGGAGGCAGGAAAGGCUUCGGCCGGACAGGGAUGGGCAUGCGGCGCAUUAGGCAGUAGGCGGGGUAACGGCCCACCUAACCGACGAUGCGUAGGGGUUCUGAGAGGAAGGUCCCCCACACUGGUACUGAGACACGGACCAGACUCCUACGGGAGGCAGCAGUGAGGAAUAUUGGUCAAUGGUCGGGAGACUGAACCAGCCAAGCCGCGUGAGGGAUGAAGGUACAGAGUAUCGUAAACCUCUUUUGUCAGGGAACAAAGGCGGGGACGUGUCCCCGGAUGAGUGUACCUGAAGAAAAAGCAUCGGCUAACUCCGUGCCAGCAGCCGCGGUAAUACGGAGGAUGCGAGCGUUAUCCGGAUUUAUUGGGUUUAAAGGGUGCGCAGGCGGUCUGUUAAGUCAGCGGUCAAAGCCCGGGGCUCAACCCCGGCCCGCCGUUGAAACUGGCAGUCUCGAGUUGGAGAGAAGUAUGCGGAAUGCGCGGUGUAGCGGUGAAAUGCAUAGAUAUCGCGCAGAACUCCGAUUGCGAAGGCAGCAUGCCGGCUCCACACUGACGCUGAGGCACGAAAGCGUGGGUAUCGAACAGGAUUAGAUACCCUGGUAGUCCACGCAGUAAACGAU
rnacentral:rRNA from 1 species